rnacentral:rRNA from 1 species
UACGUAGGGUGCGAGCGUUAAUCGGAAUUACUGGGCGUAAAGUGUGCGCAGGCGGCCGCGCAAGUCGAGUGUGAAAGCCCCGGGCUUAACUUGGGAAUUGCGCUCGAAACUACGUGGCUGGAGUAUGGCAGAGGUAGGUGGAAUUCCACGUGUAGCGGUGAAAUGCGCAGAUAUCAGGAGGAACACCGGUGGCGAAGGCGGGUCUCUGGGCCGAUACUGACGCUGAGGAGCGAAAGCGUGGGGAGCGAACAGG